AGUGUUCCGUGUCCGGGGGUUUGUGGGAGUUGCCUUGACCUGCAGCUCCGCCACUGCGGACCCGCCUUCUGCCCUCAGCAGCAGACGCUCUGUCCCGCCCGGGCAGCUCUGCGAGGCAGCGGCUGGAGAGGGAACCAUGGGGACUGUGCACGCCCGGUGACCACCAGUGAGUUAACCACCAAGCCAAGAACUUGCUCAUUAGCAAUAGCUGACGGCACCUUUGUACUCCCUGGUCCCUAUUCCUGCCCCUACCUCUACUUGAAGGGAACAACUACUGAAUUUUCUGCAGCACCAUCUAAAGACAAAACUCAAAGGUGCUUGUUCAACAUGUUCAUUUUGAUGGACUUGGAAGGACUAAAGAUGAUGUCAUCAUUUGUGAAAUUGGAGAUGUUUUCAAGGCCAAAAACCUAAUUGAGGUAAUGCGGAAAUCUCAUGAAGCCCGUGAAAAAUUGCUCCGUCUUGGAAUUUUUAGACAAGUGGAUGUUUUGAUUGACACAUGUCAAGGUGAUGAUGCACUUCCAAAUGGGUUAGACGUUACCUUUGAAGUAACUGAAUUGAGGAGAUUAACGGGCAGUUAUAACACCAUGGUUGGAAACAAUGAAGGCAGUAUGGUACUUGGCCUCAAGCUUCCUAAUCUUCUUGGUCGUGCAGAAAAGGUGACCUUUCAGUUUUCCUAUGGAACAAAAGAAACUUCGUAUGGCCUGUCCUUCUUCAAACCACGGCCCGGAAACUUCGAAAGAAAUUUCUCUGUAAACUUAUAUAAAGUUACUGGACAGUUCCCUUGGAGCUCACUGCGGGAGACGGACAGAGGAAUGUCAGCUGAGUACAG
rnacentral:sRNA from 1 species